AACUUUGAAAUCAGUAAUACAAUGACCUUGCAGAAGUGGGAUUAUAGGAAAAAAAGGCUACAAAACAUACAGUUUGAAGUACAGAACAUGAAACUAUAGCAUAAAACUGCUUGUCAGCAAUUAGCUUUCCAAUAUGAGCUGGAACCU